AUUGAACGCUGGCGGCAUGCCUUACACAUGCAAGUCGAACGGCAGCGGGGGAGAAGCUUGCUUUUCCUGCCGGCGAGUGGCGAACGGGUGAGUAAUACAUCGGAACGUGCCCUGUAGUGGGGGAUAACUAGUCGAAAGAUUAGCUAAUACCGCAUACGACCUGAGGGUGAAAGUGGGGGACCGCAAGGCCUCAUGCUAUAGGAGCGGCCGAUGUCUGAUUAGCUAGUUGGCGGGGUAAAGGCCUACCAAGGCGACGAUCAGUAGCUGGUCUGAGAGGACGAUCAGCCACACUGGGACUGAGACACGGCCCAGACUCCCACGGGAGGCAGCAGUGGGGAAUUUUGGACAAUGGGCGAAAGCCUGAUCCAGCAAUGCCGCGUGUGUGAAGAAGGCCUUCGGGUUGUAAAGCACUUUUGUCCGGAAAGAAAUGGCUCUGGUUAAUACCUGGGGUCGAUGACGGUACCGGAAGAAUAAGGACCGGCUAACUACGUGCCAGCCGCCGCCGUAA
rnacentral:rRNA from 1 species